rnacentral:tRNA from 1 species
GAGAUAUUAGUAAAACCAUUACAUAACUUUGUCAAGGUUAAUUUAUGGGUGAAAGUCCUAUAUAUCUCU